UAUAAAAUCUCGAUAAUAGUAUAAUAAUAGAAUAUUCUUUUUAAUGUUAAUUUAGGAGGAAGUAUAUAAAAAAGUAAAUAUAUUAAGCAAAAUUUAUUUAAAAUAACAUUGGGUAAAAAAGAAUAAAUAAUUGACGUGGAACUAGAUUAUAUAAAUUAAAAUAAAUUAAAAUUAUUGAUUAAAAAACUUUCAAUAGAUUAUUACUGCCAUAUGUUUAAUAAAUUUUAUUCACUCUAUAUGCACCAAAUAGCUAAUAUUUUGUCCAAGGAGAUUGUUCUGAUUUUAUGGCGGUUUAAGAAACUUAAAUUUCAUAUAUAGAUAAUUAUUAGUUUAUAGAUCACAAAAUAUAAUUUAUAUUAU
rnacentral:rRNA from 1 species